rnacentral:rRNA from 1 species
AUUGAACGCUGGCGGCAGGCUUAACACAUGCAAGUCGAACGAGUGGCGGACGGGUGAGUAAUGCUUGGGAAUCUAGCUUAUGGAGGGGGAUAACUACGGGAAACUGUAGCUAAUACCGCGUACCAUAGGAUGAGCCCAAGUGGGAUUAGGUAGUUGGUGAGGUAACGGAUCACCAAGCCGACGAUCUCUAGCUGGUCUGAGAGGAUGACCAGCCACACUGGGACGGAGACAGGGCCCAGCCCCCUACGGGAGGCAUCUGUGGGGAUUGUUGCGCAUUGGGGCCAGCCUGUCGCAGCAAUGCCGCUGGAUUGAAGAAGGCCUUCGGGUUUUAAAGUCCUUUCGGUAGCGAGACGUUAACGACAGAAGAGGCACCGUCUAACUCCGGGCCAGCGGCCGCGGAAUAC